GGGGAGCAGGGCUGGCAGCAGGGUUCUGGCAGGGUGUGCUGGGAGAUAGCAGACCCAUGGUUUGCUGCUUGUUCUGAGAGAGACACUGCAUGGAUUUGUAGUUCUUACUUGAAGCGCUUCUGCAUAUACAUAUUCCACACGGAGUUUCUUCUGGCAUUGCGUAGAGAAAGCAAUGCUCAGUGUUCUCUGUUCUUUUUGCAAUAGGAAAAUUAUCGAGGGAUAGGCUUAUGUGAAGGAGUAACAUUGUGGGGUGUCAUUUAAAAGGUGGUGUGGUGCUUUACUAGUCCUUUCACUUUGUAAUGAGCAUCUUUGUGUUCCAAGUUGUGCUACCCUCAUUUCUACUUUAAUCUCCGGAUAAAUAUUUACAGCUUCAUAAUGCAUUUUCUUACAAGUGUGAAUUAAUGGCAGCAAACUUGAUGGAGGCAGUAAUACCUAACACAGGGUUGGGAAGAAGAAUUGAAACUGGGAUAAGAUAGUAGGCAGUGAUGCUUGCAGUGUAAGAACAGCUGAAGCAUGACGCUGCUUCUUUGCUUGUUCCAUUAGAAGGGAAGAUGUUCUCCCUCCUGCUGAUCAGACCCUCUUGUCUGAUGCAGGUGUGACAUAAGGGCACCUGGGCAGAGCCAUGUCUGCAUGGAUGGGAGCUUCAGCUGCAGAAGUGUCGCAGGGACUUCCCCUGCUGAAUCACGGCUGACUCUUUGGGUGUGUUUUCAGGUAUCCCAGCAGGAGGUGUGGAAGUCCCAUACAGCAAAGAACUGGGCCACAUUAAAUUACUGUGAAAUGCUCAGGCUGUCCCGACAGCAAACUCCUACUUAUUUUCUGCUCCUUCAGAAUACAGUUUUGAAGACUUUUCUAAAUAUACUGCUUUUCAAGAUGUGCAAACUUCUCUGUGGUAGAUUUUUUUUAUACAUCUUCUUGAAUAUGUUGAUAUGUACUUUCUUGUACUUGCCAAGUUCAAAGCCAUUUCGUAGCUAUAGGGAGAACUUGGCAAUGCAUUUGAAAGAGUUUUAUACUCAUCCUUUGUGAGCUAUUGUAGGCAUGCUAAAGAUUAAAACCAAAGUAUCUCCCACAUCAGCUCUUAGGUAGUGGGGAUUUCUGUAAACAGUUUUUUAACCUUUAAACUCUAUGGUCUUACCUCUGCCAACGAUUGAUUGUGGAGAUGAGUGUGGGCCACAGGGAGAGAGCGUACCUCCAUGGGCAGGGUCAGGGCUGUGGCACUGUUACCAUCCCACUUACACACAGAGGAAGGACUUGGGUUUGUUGUUAGCCAACAGUUUGCCUGGACGUUAUUACCCUAAACGCAGUCUGGCAUGUGUUCAGAUUUUAUUCUACUUUGGUUUAGCACAAGUUGUGUUUAUUGUUCUAAUGUACUUUAAAAUGAAGAAAAAAAUCUUUUUUAGGAAGUUCCAAGCUGUUUCCAAGAGUAACUGUACGGAGCUGUUUUGUCUUGACCUACUUAUGGGAUUGUAUGGAAAUACAUAUGCAAGUAUUUCCUCAGCCUAUGCAAGCUUUGCCACUGUACGUGCUUGUAUCUGUCCUAGAGGUGCUUUCUGUGAAUGCCACUCUGCGACUUCUGUCCUUCUGCUGUUGGUCCAUCUCACUGCAUGUUGAGUGAACUCUUUUUGAUGCUUGCUUCUCUGAAAGUAACGCCUCCUAUUUCCUUAUGUUGGUGCAUGGUAUCAGAGGCAGAUGUUGGUGGUAUGACAGUAGAGGUGGAACCUUCCCAGCAACAUUCCAUUACGUUUUGUUCCCCCUCUGGUGCCAUCUACCACACAGCGAUCUGACAGUGUGGCAUCUGAUAUGAAAGUGUGUAUGAAGCAAAGAUAUGUCAUUGAAUUCCUCUACGUGAAAAAAAUGGAUGGAGACCAAGCAGUGGGGGUGGGCACAGUGAGGCAGUGGGUGCUGCAUUUCAGCUGUGGUGACAGUGGGUCACUCCUGCUGGUGCAGGUUUUGACAAGCAUGGCGUGUAGACUCUUGUUCAUUGCUGGUGGAAUUGCAUAGUUCAUGGUGGUGACUGUUGAAAACUAAUGUUUUGUAACUGAGAAUUUGCUCUAUUAAAUAGUGUAAUUGUGCUCUUUGUAUCUGCUGUAGUUUCCAUGCAAAUAAAUAAGAAGCAUUAUUUUUGGAGCAACCUAUGUAUAAUUUGAAUACUAAAAAAACAAAACAAAACAAAAAAAAAACCUUCUAAGUCUGUCAGCUUCUUGGGAACACAUGUGCUAUUGUUUGUAUAAUGCAGCUUUGGGAGCAAGGCUCUUGAGGCCAUUGCCCAACACCUUACAGAGUGACAGUUAAGGCUUCCACUGUCACAAGCAGUAAGUGCAGUGUGACACGUGUCACAGGUGAUGUCUCUACACUUUCUUUGAAAUUCUAUAAAACUUACAAAGAUUGCAGUUGGGGGUUCUGCACCUAAGACCCUGUAGACACAGUUGGCUUUAAAAUACGUUGCAUAUUCUCUUUUUCCUAUGGAUUAAUGCUUGCUAUGUGUCAUAGACACCAAACAUAGAAUUAUUGUAGGAGGAAAAAAUAUCGUGUGUACAUUGUACUCAGCUUUUAAUAGUCACAUACCUAUGUGGAGUUAGAGUAGAUUUUAUUCUAAUUAGGUGUUGUCCUACAUCUUUAUUAUUAAAGACAAGUAACAUAUUUGAGUGUGUGUUACGCUCCAGUCUGUUUCAGUGACCUACAUCCUUCCUCCAUGCACACUUCUGCAGAAACUGCAGGAACUUCAAUAAGGCAGUUCAAAGAAAAUUAGAAAGGUCAAACAGAAAAAGGAGCAUUCCAGACGUUGUAGGUAAAGAAUGCUGGCCCCCUGAAAAUCCCAUUAUGCAUUUGUGAAGGUGCAGAUAUCGCUGUAGCACAUAAAUGUUUUUUAGUCCUCUUAGCCAAAUGCAUUUCUUCUUAAUGCAUUACUUACUUUUCCUAUCCUUUCUCUUCCUUCUGUGCCCUUUCUAAAGCUGUUCCAAAUGUCUGAGUGCAAAAUAGUUUUCUAUUAUUAACUUAUUUUUUAAACCUUAAUAAGAAAAAUUAAUAAACAGUCCAGUUACUACUUAAAAUUCUAGCAAAAGAUCUUCUUGUUCCUUCUGUGCAAGCUGAAAGGAAUAGCCCCACUAAACAGAAUCUAUACAAUCAUUCUUUCUUGUUUUCCUCCUCUUCCUUCAAAUUCACCCAAAACAAAUCCUGAGAACUAUCAACUUCCAUUUUAACCGCAGUGUUAUCAUUUCCUUCUUGCUUUCAGAUUAAAGGUGCUUUCAGAUUAAAGGUGAAAAGUAACUUUGCACUGCUAUGGUGUAGUGAUGACUUCUAUGUAUUUAGAUAGGAAUCAAAUCAUUUGGGAAACUGUUGGCGAAGGAUCUGGGUGUUCAUGGCAGCGAGUGAAGUAUUACUGGAUAGUACCUAUUUAUGGACAUAAAGAGGUAUCAAGAUGUACUAUAGAAGUAAACCUAUUGUAAAGUUGGGGCAUAUAUUGCAAGCAUGUUCUGAUAUGACAAUGCAAUUAUAUGGUUAGUAAAUGAAAAUCUAAUGUACAUGUGGAGGAAGAAUAGAUAACAAAUUUAUGUUUAAGAAAGAUUUACCGCAUCCGUAGUUGGUGAAUUUUUGGAUGUUGUGUUUGAAGACCGCACUGUAAACUUGGAUGAAGAUGAGUCUACCUGUAAAAUGAAGAAGAAAAUAAAUAAGCAGAAAGAAAUAACUCUUUAUAUAGGUAUGAAGAGAAAAAGGCAUUGGUUGCCAGAUCCUUCAAAAGCAAUUGUACGCUUAAAACAAACUUGAUAAACUUCAGGCAGCCUCAGAACACUUCUUAUCCUCUCUAAAGCUGCGCUCUGAUUUCUGGGGCUGCAGAGCAUCCGUAAUUUCUGCUAAAGCUGAUGUAGUUACCAGUGUUUAUCAUCAAGCACGGCCGGCUUCCUUAUUAAAUAACUUAGCUGCAAGUCUACAGGAGUCUUCUUUUAACCAGUAUGAAAUUUAGAGAUGCCCUAAUUGAAAACACACACUUCAGAGAAGGGGGGGAGGAGGGAAGUAGUGUGAUUUGGCAGAAUUAAGGCCACUUGAAAGAUCUAAUCUAAUAAUGUCCUGCUAACCUUUUCACUAGAUAAUGAAGAAAAUAAUUUUCUUCACUUGGAAAUUGUAUUACUGUUUUUGGUAUGAUAAACAUUUCCGGCUCCUAAUAUGGGACUGCUGAGCACUGCUGGUUCUGAUGAGGUAGGCGGAGGUUAAUGAAUACAAAAUUUUCCUCCUUAUUUAUAUGUUUAUACGGCUGUAGAAAAUUACUUCUCUUUCAGAGUUCAGCAUAGUAUUCAGUCCUUUGUGAUCUGCAUCACAUACUUAAAAAGGUGAUAUUCAGAGUUUCCUUGAUUUAAUGAUAUCUUUUUAAAAUGAGCACAAAGUACUUUAUUAUACUACUUUAGCGUAUAAGCCUCUGAAAUUUAAAUGUUAAUAGCCUUAAUUUUAGCAUGUAUUUGACUUAAAAUUGCUUUGAUUUGGGUGAGUUGUUUCUUGUUGUGGUAUUUUUUAAAAAAUGUAAAUAAUCCCUUCAAAUUUUACCUCAGAGCUUGAAGAAACCAAAGAAAAUAAAUGCUGGAGUAUCAAAACCUGAAGACAGAGUUAUUUGGAAAUUAUGGUUAUUAAUUUCUUUAAUAAAAAUUGGCAGGCUUACUUCAGUUUUAAUCUCUGUGAGUGCUGUUGAGACACCUACAAGUAAUUCUUGUUGUUUGACUGUGACUGUCACCAAGACUUUUUGUUUAAUACAGCUGUCAGCUGUCCCUGAAGAGUAUUUUUUAUGUGUCCAUGGAAGGCUCAUGUGUGUAAUUUCUGACAUGAAGGCUACCCGUAGUUGCCUAUCUUGGUAGGAGACAUGAUUUUAAAGGCAAUCAAAUAGUUCUAUCAAAAUACUGGAGCUGCUCCAUUCUUACAUUUUCAGUGCUUUUGUUAAAUGAGAGUAAAUUCCUAAUGCCCAAACAUAACUAAAAGCUCUUUUCAGAAGGAAUGUUUAAUUUGGCUAUAAACGUCAUUGUGAUCUCAAAGAGGAAGAUCUUUCAGCAGUCUAAAUCUAGCAUAGUGUGGGGGGAAUUACUACUUAUUUAAUUAGGUACUUGCAGCAGAGAAAGCAUACUCGUAAGGUGUGGAAGUGUGUAAGUAAAGCAGUGAUUGCUGAAGGGGGUGAUGGAGCUUUCUGUGCAGGCCGCUGUCGUGCUCUGACAUGAAACUGUAACUGUAUGCACAGUAUCAUUGGCACCACUUCAACUUUGGUGACCCUUCAAGGUCACAAUGAAAUCAUCUGCCAAUAGAGUUUUUAUAUCCAUAUUAUACAUAAAUAGUAGAAUUUAAGUGUUCUGAGGCUGCCUUACUUAAAUUACAUUAUAAUCUUUCUGGAAUCUAAUGAUCUUGCAGACAUCCAGUCCUUUUUCUGGAGAAGGCAGUGGUAAGCUGGUACAAGAUGUUGUCGAUAUCCCUGUACCCAGUUUGACACUUUCAGCAUUUGACUGCAGUAAGCACCAUAGGACAGUUUGCUGGGGAGGCUGCAGGGAGAACAGGCUGGUCUGAACUGUGUGCUGAACUGGAGUUGGUAUUUUAAGUGCCGCUAUUGAAGAACUUCUCCAACAGUGACCACACACUGUGCUCCAGUCCUGCAGAGGUGCUGAACUUCUACAGAACAAGUCCUUUCUAUUGUGUUAAAGUCUCCCCCAAAUGAGAAAUCCAUAAGGAUAUUCCUUAAGUACCAUACAGAAUUAAAGGAGCAGUAAGUGGGGUGCAUUUUCUGAGCCUCAAAAUCUUCGUGUGACCUGCGAGUGGUUGACUUCUGUGAGAGACUAAAACACAAGUGUACGUGAUUAGAUGGUGCAAUAAAUGGAAGUACAGGAACAGGAACAUCCCCUUCUUUGAUAAAGUUGAAAUGGUGCCCAGGGUGGGGAGUAGAAAGUAUCUUAGGUUUCUGGCAAGUAUGCCUUAAAAGCUCAGGAGAUGAAGCAAUAAAUAAAUAAAUAAAUAAAACUGGGGAACAAUUUGCAAGAUAUGUGAAAAUUAAGUAAAAAAUGGAAACAAACAAUACAAUGGUUCCUAAUACAUGGAUUGAAAGACCAGGUACCUGUCUCAUCUUUCAGGUACUAAAAUCUAGCAAGAAGAAAACCCACUUCUCUAUGGCCCUGCUAAGAAAUGAAGGAAUAGAGAAGCAACUGCUCUAGCAGCUACAUCAUGAAAAUAAAUAUAGUUGCUCUGUUGCAACUGGUUUUAUCUUCUUACAAGUUCGGUACUGUUUUAAGCAAGAUGUGCAGGAAAAGCAGAACUGUGGUUUAAAAAAGGUGGAGUGUGAAUCUGAAAAGUCAAAAUGCCAAAUAGAGAUACAGAAAGGCAGAAUGAAGAGCAGGGGCAGUUAAACCCAAGGGAAAUUGUGCUCUCGGCAAUUUUCCUCUUGCUUUAAUUUUUGAAACCAGAUAUAAGUGCUUUCUACCAGUUGAAUGUGAGAUCAGGUAUGUAAAAUGCAUUUUUCUGGAGUAUGGAAUUGGCUGAUGUGAACUGUGUAACUGCUGCCAGCAGUAAGAAACAUUCCGUGAGUGCAGAAAGUGAGAACUGCAGAAAAAAGGGACUUGGAGUGAAACGUGGUAGGAAUUCUAUUAGGAAAACUUCUGGCUUCCUAUAGAGUCUUAAUUUAUGUUUUUAGCAUGUAUUUAGACAAAUGAUUGUGAUUAGUCUCCAUCUCCACAACAUGGAUACAGUAAUGUGUUGUGUGAGUAAACCAAACUUGCAGUAAGGGCACCUGGAGAAGGUUUUUGUACUUCAUGAUGUAUUGAAUGAUCGUUAUUUUCCAAGUCACAUAAAGGGGAAAUACCAACAACUUCUUGUUAAGUUGGUAUUCAGCAUAAUCUACUUUUAGAAGAGCAUGAUAUUAGAAAAAAAUGUGAUAUUAAAAAGAAAAAGAAAAAAAGCAGAAUGGGAAAGAGCAAUAAAAGGAAAAAAUGACCAUCUAAGAAAAAGCAAGCCUGGGGUAUAGGUGUAUUACACAGUUGCUGCUUCACAGAGUUACUUCUCUUAUAAGAAGAGCCAAAAGAACAGAUUAAUUCACUGUCAAAUCAAAUUUUCCUCUUGAGACUACACAUACCAUCUGAAAUGGGAACAGUGGGUUUGUAGCAACUCUUCAUAUGAACCAAAGAGUACUGUGGACUCCAGGGAGUCCAUCUAGUUCCCAUAAAGUCUAUUUUCUUCUAGUCUGGUAAGAGGCAUACUUUUCCUCAGUGUUCACUUCUCUGAUGACUUUAUAUGAGAUGACUAUUAUUAAAUAUAUUCUCUGUUUGGCUUUCAAAUGGGAAAGGAAAUUCUUGUUUGAAGUGAAGCACACCCACUGAAACUGCACGCUGGAAGUUGGAUUCCAAUCUGCCUUUGGAUUUCUUUUUUAUGCUGGUUCAAACCUUUAAGAUCAGGUUUGCCAGUACCGUUCAAAAGAAUGCAUGAACUUGUCAACAAUUCUCUCAAUUUGGAUUUAUUCUCCAGGAGUGAUUGACAGGUAUUGAAGUUUAUUUUGGACAAAGGAUUGCUGUAUUUUACAGGGAGAUGCAGCCUUGGUCAUGCCUUCAGUAUGCAUAUAAAGCGAGUCACUACCGCCCGUUAUUUAUUCACAGCAGAGAGGUAGAGCAGAUGACCUAUUCCCUGCAUAGCAUUAGUUCUCAGUCUUUGGCAGAUCUAUGUAACUUCCUAACCAAAGAACGGCAGCUCGCACCUGAGAAAAGGAUUGCUCUCAAAAUCUGUGGCAUUUUCCUGUUAAAUCUACUUAUUAAACUUUAGCAGUAGAAGAAGCUUUUAAUGUUUUAAGUGGGCUGUGAACAUAAUUUGCCACUUCUGAUUUAAUUAAUUGUUGAUAUCCAAAUCUUGUCAAAUGUAAUUUCCUUUGAAAGAAACACUGCAGCAAAUGGAAUACCUGGAGAUUGUAUUCUAGGGCUUAAAAGGCAUACUCUAUUAAAAAAAGAAAAGAACAGUUUAAACAAGCCCUCUCUAAACUCCUGUCUUUUGUGUGUGCUUUCUGGGUGAUAUGGAGAGAGCAUUCAGACAUUCUGAACAGCAGGCUACACGUUUCAGUUGCAUCUCACCACUUUUAGCCUCUAUUCUUUUCCCCUCCAUGCACAGAUGCUCAUAUCAUUCUGUAAAUGCGUAUGUAUAAUUCUGAUUAAUUUCCUGAUCGUGUUCACUUCUUCCAUAGGGCUCCAGCCUCAGUGCAAGAUGUGUGGUAUGUUUAAUAGGAAGCUUGUCAUAACUGUUUUCCACAGUGUUGUUCAGUGGGUUGCCUUGUGUCUUCAAGUGUAAUGCAUAAAGUAUAAUAUAGCUCAGUGCUAUUCCAAAAUAAUUGUUUUGAAGUAGUUUUUCAUGGGACGUCAAAAUUCUUGUCUCUUAUCUCAGUGUUUCUUUGAGAUGGCAUUUUAGAAGGAAGCUUUUCUAUCAAUUUUGGGUGACUUUUAACAUUCUUAGAUGCUUAACUUGUGACUUAAGCACAGAAACAGUAUGUAAUGCCAGGACCAACUCCCACUGACUGCCACUGUUUGCUUUAGAAACUCUAAAAAUAUAUAUAUGUAUAUUAAUAUGGGUAUCUAAAAAAUGGAAAAAGGAUAAAUAAUAUGGUUCAAGAAUCACAGUCUGAAUGGCCAGCUUGGCAUUAUCAGACUCUGUGCCAUACGGUUAUAUUGGCUGAGAGACUUUCAGCACUUUGUGUCAUUCGUAACUUCACCUUCCAACUUCUGCAGCAAACAAGCCAAAGAUGCUGGGAUUCUGGUGUCACACGCAGAUUCUUGCUCCUGGAAAAGAGCUGUGUUAGUCUGUCUUCCAGCACCAGUGGUACAACCUCCUUGUUCCUUCCUUGUGUUCCCAGAGUGUCCCAUCUCUGGCAGUAGUCCCUUUUUGUGCCUUUCCUUCUGCCCCUAGUUUCCCACCUUCUCCGUGCCUAUUCUCACUCUCCAUCCAACUGCUUGCCGGUCUAUUAUCUGCUGCUUUUCUUACUGACUUUUAGUCAUUCGUCAAUUCUGUCUUCCACCCUCUUUGCCCAAAUAAUGCAGCUUUCCACUGACCUUCCCUCCAGUUCCCACUCUGCUUGCCAAGUAGGCUCAAAUUCCUCCCUUGCCAACUUCCUGUAGCUUCCCACUCACUAGAUCUGACACAAUCUACUUUUUUUCGUUUUCCUUGUUUCAGUUAUGCCCUUUACAUUCCAGUCACAUUUUCCUUUCUAUGUUGCCUAGGUGUCAGCACAGAAUAGUUGAAAGCAUAAAAGAAACUUUCCGGCCUCUGGGUUGUAUUUUCAGUGCUUACCUCACCAGCUGGCUAAAACCAUGAGGGAAAUUCAUUUUUUAAAAAGGCCAACUUUACCCUUAGAAGUAAUUUUAUUAAACAUAGGAUUGUAGAACUUGUUCCAAGUGAAGUUUAAAUCUUUCUGUAGUGCCGCGAUGGCAGUGCUCUUCCAGAUAAUGCCAGUGCACAAAAGGUACUUGUUUGCUGGGACAGUGCCUGUAUGCCAUACUGAAACCAUUUGGAUGCUGUAACUUCACGAACUUCUACUCUGGGAAAAAAAAUGGAGCAGAGCAAUCCCUAACAUGAGUGGAGGCUAUCUGCAGUUUUUGGAAAUCUUAGCUGUUCGGUCCAAAAAACACUGAGCCUUGCUGUGGGAUAUUGUAUUCCCACGUUCCCCUGAAGAUGUAUUUUAGGUCAAUUGUGAGGGGCAAAGAAAGUGAAGGCAAAUUCUGACCAUAUAACUUGCACACUGUUAAACAUAUCAGGUUCCCUCUGAAAGUGGAAGUGCCGCCAAUACAGAUUGCUCUGAAAGUAAUGCCUCCUAUUUAUUUCCUUGGAAACUACAGGAGAUGCACUGAGCACAGUAACUCUGCUUGAUAGAGCAAAUUCUCAGCUACAAAAUGUUAUUUUUCAACAUAGUUACCACCAUUAGCUCUGCAUUUUCACCAGCAAUAAACAAGAGCCUGCACACUGUGCUUGUCAAAAUUUGCACCAGUAGUGGUGACCCACUGUCACCACUGAUGAAAUGCACCACCCACUGCCUCACUGUGCCCACGUCUACUGGUUGAUCUCCAUCAGUGUUCAGUAAGUGUUAGUGAAUGUCAGUGGGUGCCAUUUUUUCCUCAUGGAGGAAUUCAGUGACACACCUUUGCUUCAUACACGCUUCUCUGUCAGACGCUAUUUUGUCCGACUGCCCCUCUGCUGCCAUCUGUCACACAGCAACAACAUGGAAUGUGGCUGGGAAGUUUCAGCCUCCACUGCCUUACCACCAAUGCCUACUUAUGACGUCAUGUGCCAACAUAAGGAAAUAGGAAGUGUUACUUUCAGAGCAGCCCUUGGCUGAGGGCUGUUUAUGCAUGUGUUCUGCUUAGGUUUUAAUUUUUUUCAUCUACAUUCUUGAACUGGUUGGAGCCCUUUUAUGAUGGAUAACCUCCUUGUUGAGCAUUUCCCUCAGAUUACGUACCAAAACAGAGUUAACUGAUGUUACUGUCAUAAGCAACUGAAAAUACAGUAUUUCAGUAGCAACCUGAGUAUUGAGCAAUCCUUAAAUUUCAUUCUAUCUUGCAUAAUUAUAAACAGUUCUUUUGGAAUGUCAACAAAUGCCUUGGUUCCACACUGGUCAGUUAGAAGAGGGAGAUAUCCUUCAACUAUGGUGACAGGAUAAUUGAAUCCUCUCUUCUGCCUCUUGACCUCAGCUGUCCCUUUGUUCUUGCACUCUCAGUGGUGUGCAUGCAGUUCAACCUGAGUUGAAAGAGUAGUCUGCUCUGGAACUCAGAUUUUUAGUAUCUCCUUAGAUAAAAAUUAAAUUAAAAUUAUUCAUCAAAGUUAUUCCCUCUUUUUAUUCAACUUAAUCAUCAAAUCUUCUCGUCAGGGCUGUACUGAGUCAGAGUGAGGGUCUAAUGGGAACCUGCACUGGUUCUUUGCAUGAUUUUAGAGCCUCUUCCUGAAAGUGGGAACAGGGCCUGGUCUGCACCUGCAUUUGCACCUGCAUUUUCCUUCUACUUCCAGGCUCACCAGGGAUUCCUGUAUGGCACAUGCUUUUCUGCUGGAGCAUUGUACCAUCGACUUUAGGCUGUCAUCUCUGGGGACUCCAGUGUGACCAACAGCUCCAGAUGUCAUUGUAUCAAAAGUUCUUUUCCAACAGCAUUCUAAGCUGACAGCCUUGUACCAAAACCUAGUCAGAACCUGAAAACUCUCCAAGAUGGUUUCUGAGGCCAAGUGGAUAAAAGUGUGCUCGCAGUGUACCUCUUAGGGUCCUCUGACUUAUGUUCCCUUUCUGGUGAGAAAACCCAAAGGCAUGUGCGUAUUUCACAUGCAUCAGGUGGUGGUUUGUCUUCUUCUGUUGUCUCUCACUGGACUUGUAACUGCACUUUUCCACUUAGCUUGUUGUUUAUAUUCUUUCCACCUUAAGUCUCUUAAGCUCACAAGGUCUCCUCCUGGCCCUGGCCAAGCCAGCCGCUCGUUUCCUCUGGGAGAAGCAGCCUUACACGGGAAUCUUGGCAACAUUUGGGCCUCUUGCCAUUCUGUCACAUUUCUGGGCAGGUCGCCACUGGGCAUCAUCCGCCAUUGCCCUGGACGUCUUUAAGGACCAGUGGGUAUUCUCAGGGCUGCUCUGCUGAUGUCUCCAUCCAGUUCCCUUCCAGUUCAUCUUCCAGCGUGCAGACCCCUGUUGACUGUUUCAGUCACUGUUCCUCUGCGUUAUUUGGGCUGUUGGAUUUUGCUAGGGUUGGACUAAUGCCCCUCUGCAAGUAGAGAAGAACGUGAAAGCUUGAUACUAGUACAAGUGCUAAGGGAACAGCAUUUAAAAGGAAAACAGCAAACUGACCAAAUUCAGCUGUGUGGCUCCACUAACUUCCUGAGUUAAAAUGUCUAUGUUCAUUACAAGUCAGAACAGAAAGAUUUAUAUAUGUCUGCCCCAUGAAAUGCCUUCUGUGUGAUCUAGCAUGCUGUGCUGUGUCACUCCACCAAGCUCUCUCACCGCCCCUGUAUAAAAUUGUUGGCUUUUUAUUUUGGUGUUCUGAUUUUCUCUCUACAUUUUACUCUGCUUUUUCUAAAGUGUUGGGGUUUUGCUUGUAGAGAGAGACUUUGUAGUGGCAAAACGACAGUAAUAACAGCUAUUUUGUAUAGUAGUAAAUUAACUGAAAUGCCACUUACUUUGUUUUUAAUGGAUACCAGCAGUUAUUUCUACCUGAACCGUCACACACAAAACAAAUUGUUUUUAGUGUGUAAAAAUAAGCAGUGAUUUUCCCAUCUGUUUUCACUUACAGCUCUGUAACGUGUAACAGCUAUUAUGAAAUCAACUUUAAAAAAUCUCAAAGCAUUGAAUGUGUGGAUGCUUGGAAAGAUUUUCAUUCUCUGAAUUAAUGUGAGCGUAUGAAAGUCGAUUUCCACAUCUAACCUUUUGUUUUAGAAACUUGGUUAACACAGUUUUGCUUUUUACCAACAGAGUAAAUCAAUACUGAAAAGGCAUUUGAUGUGGUUGUUUCUGUGAUGUGCCUUUACUGGAAUUGCAGUUGCUUUUACCCCAGUUUCACUAUGUGUAAAACUAAUUUAGCAUUUCAGUGUGCGGAGUUUUAAUUUUAUCCUCUGAAAUGCACAAAUGCAUGCAUGUUUGCAUUUGUGUGUAUACAUAUAUUUUGUAAUUAUGGCCCUUUAAAUAUCUAAUUUCAACAAGUAAAACAAUUACCUUGUGGCAGAGAGGUAAAUCAUACCAUAACCUAGAAAAUACUUUAGGAAGACUUUAUAUCUUCUGCCUUUGGUACAUAAAAAUAGUUUGUUCUCUGCCUCCUCCUUAGAACUCUAUGAUGAAAAACGUAACUAUUAGCUCUAUGAUUUCAGCAAGUCUGGAGAACAAUUAGAUUUGCCUUGAUGGUAGUAAUUUAGGAUUUCCUAACAUGACACACCAGCUGUAAUUGGAAACGACAAUCGGUGUAACAAACAGCCUUGAUGAAAUUGACUGUUUGAAUUUGCCUAUUUAUUAGUUUCAUGCUGCUUUAAAUUAACUACACCUGUACACCUGCACUUCAGCUCACUUCUAGCUGGUGACUAGUCAGCUUCAUCUGCUCUACGUGGAAUUUUUGUCAGGUUAUAUUUUCCUUAACUCUGCUUGUUUAUUCCUUUUUGACUGCUCCUCAUUUAUCUGCACGAAGUGAUAUUCCCUUCCCCUGGUUUUGGUUUUAUGAUACAGCACCCAUGACCUUUUAACGACCCUUUGAGAUCCUUCCUGACUAACACAUUACCGACAUGACAUAGGUCACUUAGGCAAAAGGAGCCAGAAGGAUCCUAUCUGUGUGAUUUGGUUUGGUUUGGUUUUGUUUGUGUUUCUUUUUCUUGGAAAAACUUCAGCUUGGGAAAGUUGUUGUAGCUGCAGCGUCACCCUGCAAGUGGCACUUGGAUUUAAACACUGUAAGUCUGGAAAACAGCAGGAAGCAGCAGCUAAAAAUAGCUGUAAAUGUUUCCUUAUCUUCUCAUGCAUUAAUUGACAAAAAUCUAUACUGCCCUCAUCUGUUCUUUCCUUUCAAUUCUUAAAUGUCUGCUUUACUGGCUUUUCUUCCUAACAGCGUGGUUCUGGCUGCCACAUUUUGAGCCACACUCUAACCCUGGAACCAACACCUGGGUAAUAGUUUAAAAUACGUGCUAAAUAGAUGCAGCACCUGGGUAACACUUGACCUUGUGAAAGCAAUAUAUAUAUUUCUUUCUUUUUUGGUUGCUUAUUACUUUUUUGCAAAAAGUUCUCUAUUCUGACAGGGGUUUGUGCCCAUUUUCCACCCCGGUGUGAAUGUCUCGGUAUUAAAAGCUCCUCCUUCCUGCAGAACAGCUUUGCAAAGUUCGUUGAAGUGAAAUUUGAGCAAAUCUUUUUCCUUAAGCUGUGAACACAAUGUUCUGUGCCAUUUGAUUAAGAAUAUUCAUUUGCUUUUAACUAAAAAAAGGUGUAAAUACAUUCUUAAAAGAGGGCAGAUGCAAGAUCAGGAAAUAUGGUACUAAUAUGAUAGGGAAGAUGUACCUUUAAUGCAUUGGUCUUUGAAACUCAGUGUUCUCAACUGCAAUUUAAAUAUACAUCCUGUUAAGAUUCAGUUACCAUCAGAGAGCUGUUAACUGCAGUAUGGUUCACAUUAAAUAGUUAAAUGAUAGAAAGUUUUGCUCUGUUCAGACUAGUUCUCGUAGUUAUGAGUUCCCCUAAAAAGAUCCUGUUUAGGUGGCCUUCGUAUCUCUCAAGUCCCAUCAACAGCUGACAAAACAGUCCACUCAGCAAGAUCUUGCUGAUGACCCUUAGAGAUGGGUGUGGUUCCACUGAACAUGAUUUCCCUAGCAAGUACUUGAGAAAAGGCUUUGCAAAAUAUUCUUUAAUACUACGUUCUGUAUGCCACUCAUGUUACUUCUGUAAUGUUGGUAUUACAUUAACUUGUGUGAAUUCCAUGGUUUAACUGAAAAGCAGUUGUGAAGGGGAAACCUGCAGACCAAUGGCUGGCAAAGCGCAGGCUCUAAAGAAGCAAUCAAGGAGUGGGAUGCUGCUGCUGUGCCAGCUGGGGUGGGCAGGAAGAGCAUAAAUGUUUGUAAAGUGUUUCUGAGGUGCCAGAAAAUCCAGUGCAGGUAAAGCUUUGUCUUUGUUCACAUAUCUCUUGAAGUUUAUAGUUAGUAGUGUCUUUUGAAAACGUCAGCACAAAAUUAUUUGAGGUGUCUGACUGGAAAUGGUUGAGAGCCAAAAUAAGAUUGCUGACACUACCAGCAGUGUUGAGAGGAAAGGAGAGCCGCAUUACUCCACUCAUUCCUCAGAGCAGAUGAGAUCCAGUGAACCCAUGUGGUCACAGCUGAAGAAGAACACGCAUAAAACAUGAGGUGUGGCCUCUCCAUACUUGGGACGAUGGUGGUUGUGGUGGUCUUUAAUUACUGCUGUGUACUUUCCAUCACAUCUGUUCCCCAUUCGGUGGUCAGCACACAGGGGUUGCUCUGGCCAUGUAGCUGUAGGUCACUGAGUAGGAGCACUGUUCAGAGAAGUAACUGUCCUCUAUUGAAAUUCUGAACAUUUACAUGGCUGUCAGAAUGACAGAUAGUUUUAAAAACUUUGACCUAAGCACUUGAAAUGUAACUUUUCAAUUAGUGAGCUCUUGGUUUGGUUUGUUUUUUAAAUUUAGUCUUCAUUUCUCUGAAAUACGGAGUGAGUUCUUCCUACUACCAGGGAGAUGUGAAGAAUAUUGCAUGAGUACGUGGAUGCAAAGAGGGAAUACAGGAGGUCCUGUAGUAGCUGAAGUGGAUGAUUGAUCCCUCAGUGAUACCUGUGAAAAUGAAAAGUGACCAACUGCCUAAUGAGAGCACGGCCCGGCCUGUGCUCUGCGUGAGACUGGGGUUGUACAGUAUGGGCAGGUGGUCGUGGAAGGGAAACCUCUGUAGUGAUGCCCACUGGCGACUCCAGCUGGCGCCGCAGAAGCAGCUGUGAUUUUCUCAUUGGCUAACGCACUUGUGCAGUCAUCUUUAUAUAACUUCCAAUUAUGUUUUUGUAUAUAAUCUAUGCUAAGUUAUCGUCAUUCACUGAGUCCACUCUUCUCUCUUCCACAAGUCUCAGUGCUUUUGGUAUCACUGUGUACAAUUGUGUUUCAGUCAGGAUGUUAACAUUCCCUAUGCCGUUCAGCAUGCAGCUGUUGGUGCCUUUCAGUGUUCAUUUCAUAGACCGUAAAACUUUCCUGGGGAUGAUGCAGAUGGCAGUAUUAUCAAUUCAAGUUCAUUAAUAUAUUUUCUUAGAUACUGGUAGCAGAAUUAAAGAUGCUACUGAUCCUAAACAAAAACUGAUGAUUUUUGCUCCUUGUGGUUGUUUCCAUCCCACACAGUCAGGAAAUUCUGAACUCUUAGCAACAGUUUUCUUUCACUGAAAAUUCCAGUCUAAUCUGUUCUGCAAGAAACCUCAGAAAAUCAACAUCUAGAAAGAUCUUAAUUAAAGCAAACAAAUGAUGCACUGACCUCAAGAAAAAUGAUUUUAAGUCUUUUUUAUUUAAAAGCACAACCUGAGGCCUACUUUAACUUUCUGUUCACAUGCACGAUUUUCUGAUUUUCAUCUCCAUAAUUAGCAGUUACAUCAAGCCGCGGAAACUUUGGAAUGUAGUGCAGUAUCAGUAUUAAAAUGAAGUGUUUCCAGAUAUGACACUUUUUUUUGCACACUUAACAUUGUUUAUUAAUAUUCAGGUUUUGUUGUAAGCUGCCACAUGUUUUUAGUUCCUGAAAUCUCACAUCCCUUCAUGUGAUUCUGAAGUACAGCUUGCUCACCUAACAGCUACUGGACAGCACAGUGGUUUCGUGAUUUUGCUUUCACAUCUAGAACUUCAGUGCGUUGCGUAGGAAGUAUUAAAAUAGCCUUGUAUGUGAAAAGGAACAAAAUAAGAAUUAUGUAUCGCUGUUUUGAAAUAAUAAUGUUUAAAACUCCAGGAACAUUUUUGUCAAGUACUCUUUGGAGCAGAGCUGUGUUUUCUCUUUGUUCUGACAUAGAUUUAUUCCAAAGAUGAAGAGUGGUAUUUAUAGAAAUGUUGUUGGCUGCGCAAAGCAAAGGCUGUUAUACACAUUUCUUUUUAUUUUUUUGUUUGUUUAUUUUUUUGGAUGUAAUAAAUUCUGAAAAUAGUCUUUAAUAAGGGGGAAAAAAAACAGAAAAUAUCCAGAAUAUUAAUGGACAGGACAACAUAAACUUCAUUGAAUUAAUACAAAAACACUAGAGAAGCUGUUUGCAUUUGAAGUUGUUAUCCAAGUUAAGUGCAGUUUAAUGUCUUGGAGAAGACAUUCAGCCAGAGGUCCAGAAGCUGAAGAAAGCCAAGGUAAAGAGUGUUGUACUUUCUUCAUCCUUUCAUAGUGCCUGCUUUGUAGUUGUUAAUUUGUCCACGUCUUCACCCACAAUUUCUGUUUCCUUCUGCUUUGAAGGAGGAUAAUUCAUUCAAGGGGCAACAAAUUCCCCUUCUAAUAGUAAAAUCUAAGAACUAACAAGAUCUUAGAACAAGCCUCUAAUGAUCAUAGAAAGAAGUUGGAGACAAAACGCAGUCAUGGAGGAAAAGGGUUGAAAGUGGAGGAGGUGUGUAGACACCAUUACUGUUUUUCAAGAGAGGAAUAUGAGAUUGGCUGGUGGCAUUGAGAGGAGGAAAGUCCUCUGCUGUUGGCAAUGGGAAGCUGACACGUCGGUGGAAGCUGUGCUACAAGAAAUCCCUCGGCCUUGUCAUCAAUUCAGUACUGUCACUUCUCUGAACUUCGGCAUUUGGUACUUGGGUGAUCAAACAGUUUCUUAUUCAAGUAUCUAAUGCAACAUUAUUUUCAGAUUAUGUUUGCGAUGCUUAAUAAUUUGACUCUAAGAUAGUAAGCAAACAGUAGGAGAAGCUAUUGCUUAAAGAAGAUUUCUCAAGUGUGUUAUGGUUUGCUGUCGUAAUGACAGUGUGCGUAUAGAGUGGUAGGAUGCAGAAUUAUCCAACUUUUUUUUUACUAUUUAUAUUUAACUUCAUUAGAACUAAUUUACUUCUCUUAGCAGUUGAAAUCCUUAACUGGUGAUAAUUAGAAUCUUCUAGCUUUUGUAUCUGUCACUUGGAUCUGCCAUUUAAACCUUAAUCUUUCCCUAAUCUGCUAAUAGUGAGGCUGUAGUGUCACACAAAAAGCCACACAGUAUUUCAGUAUGCUUGUACCAAACUUUUCAGUGGAGGACAGCCAACAGGCUAUCUCAUAGGAUCACAGAGUAGAAUCAUAGGAGUAGAAUAGCCUGAGACAGAAGGGAGCUAUGACAUUUCAAGUGCGUUUCAUUGUACUCACACUGUGGUGGAGCGAAUAGAAAGCCCUCACAAAAAAAAGCGCUGUCUCUCAGACAUUGCUAUGCCAUCCUAUAGCUUAUCACUAAUAAACCUGAUCGUUAAGCCUGAUCUUAUCCCUUUUCCCUUUCAAACCUAACUUUAAGCUCGUGCAGACAGCCCCACUAAUGCACGAGUGAAAUCACUUUUCCUCCUUUGAAAAGGGCAAAUCCAGCUAGGUCGUGUGGGCCUGGCAUCACACAGGUAACCCCAUGAUCAAAAAAAAUCCCAAAUUCUGCCGGUGCCACCAGCCUCAGAGCCAGGUAUCAGUCAGCUGGGUCCAUCUGUUUCUUUCAAUGUCACUUCUUACAAAUGGAGAGAUAGAAUAGGGCUCCUCAUCUCUUUACCGAUCUAUCCAAGGCCCUGAAAUCUCUUGGUUACUCCUGGGCUUUGUCACUACCCAAAAUCAAGAAAAAAUCAAGAGCCGAUAAUAACCUGAGGGCUGUACCAGCCUAGGACAUUUCCUGGUAAUAUUUUCAAUCUGUGCCUUAAGGAUGCACCAACCUCGUGGGCCUGGUCAUCAGGUCUGGCCCUCUGUUCCCCUCAGAAGGGAAUCACCUCAGACUGUAAGCAACACACCAUUUUUGUUUUGUGGAAGUGAUCAUCAUGCAGGGUAAAGUCUGACCCGACUGCUCUAGAAUAGAUAGAUUGUCUUCUGCCUUAUCAUGUUCUUCCAAUUCCAAAGCCUCCUCCCUGUUGUGUAAGGGCACCUGUGGUAACCUAAUCUCCCUCCACCGCAGUGUCAGACGAUGUUACGCAGUUGUCUCGAGGGUAUUGCAUUGAAACAUAUUGGACCACUGAGGUUAGUGUAUACAUUAACAAAAUGUCUCUCACAAUUUAACAUUAUGACAAAAAGUGUAAGAUUUCUGUAAUGUUAAUUUCUUUCAAGCCCAGGAAUUUGUUAUCCAACACAACUUAAAGUGGUGAGCAGGGAUGCUCCCAAUGGUGGCAUUAAUGCUGAUUUGUGACUGCAAUGCGUUACCAAGUUGCUACCUACUGAGCUACUGUUCAAAGUUAGAUGAAAUUAGAAAGAUCAAGUGAUUGGGGUGUAGAGGCUAUUACUUCCCUGGAAAUAAUCUAAUUAGCACAGCUCACAGAUGGCACAUGUCUGGCUGCUGAUCUGUUAGCUGCUCGUUACUUGAUUCUAGAGGAGGAGUUCAUUUGUUGGCAUUUGCUUCCGUUAAUCUGUCUUUAGAGAUUUUCUGUAGUUAGCAAAUACUUGUUAAGAGCUAAAGUUAAUUUGUAAGCAUUUCUUAAACCUUUAAUUUCACAUCGUGCAAUGCAAAAACAACUUUCCCUUUUCACUUCUUCUUUGCUAAUCUCUAAGAUCACUUUUUAGUUCUAAGUUUAAAGUUGACUUUGUAUUAUGAGGAUUUUUUCUCACCUUCACACAUAGUUGUCAUUUGUUUUAGUGGCACUGUUCCAGAGGUGCUUUCACAGAACAUUUUGAAGGAGAUUUUUCUCUGUGUGGAUUCGAAUUAACUGAGUCAGGGGGAGGAGGAGCUGCCGUGCAACUUCCUGAAAAAAUUCCUCCAGAGGAAGUAGAAGUCUUGAGAGCAAUUUUUAGUCUCAAAUACGGAAGGCUACCAAAUGCAUACAGAACAAACUCUGAGCUGAUAAUUAUAGAGUAAAUAUAAGCACACAUUCAGAGAGUUGAAGCUCUUGCACAGGUAUAAAAGCGAUCCAUUAACUACAGGAACUACCUCCAAUAUUUAGUAUACAAUAAAGUGUUUUCGUAUUUUUAACAGUAGAAUGUUUUUUACUGCUCACGUAAUCACACUGUAUGUAUCCUAAAACAUUUGCUGACACUGUUCACUUUUUCUCCAGGAGGCUUUAUGCUAAAUUUGAGUAUUGCAUUACUUCGCUAACAUUUUCUGCAAAUAGUAAGCUUUUCGUAGUCUGUCUUCAGAGUUUGAGCUAAUCAGUAAGAUGAGUACAGGAAUCACCCUUUGAUGUAUUUUCGUCUUGUGAAUGGAGGAUGAUUGAAAUAUGGAUCUGGGCAUACAUAAAUUCUAAGACAGAGAGUAGGAAAAAAUUGUCUUGUCAUAUUCCUUUUCUGCAGACAUACCAGCUGCACCAGCGUGUGGCUAAUUCAGAACGACUUCAGGAAGCAAAAUGGACCUUUCCAUGAAUACUUUCUGACAAGUGGCUCAUCUUGUCAGAUUAUUGGCAAGAACCACAUUAAGCCAUGCUGUCACUGAUCCUUUCUUCAUCGGCCUAAUUCCUUUGCUCAGCAGGAAAACCUCCAAAAAAACCUCCAAAACCUCCUGGAAAUACCCUGCUGGUAAGCUGAGCGAGCUCUCCUGGGUUGCUGAGCACAGGCUCAUGUGCACAGCACAGCCUGAUUUAUGGGAUGGAUUCCAAUCUCCCCAUCAGCCUGUCUGUCCUGUGUAAGAGCAAAGCUCCAAACCAAACAGUAGAUGCCACCUGUUUGUUUGUUUUAUCUAGUGGUAACUUCUCAUAAAAUAAGAAUAAGCCUUGAAAUUAUCAUUAUCCUGAUCUGUUUCUCCAGGGAUUUGAUAAAGCAUCCCUUGUACCUACCUGUCUUCGUGGCGGCACACCUGACCCAAUAAGCAGGUUAACCAGCAGGGUUAGGUUUGUUCACGUUGGGCACAAGGCUGCAUCACUAGUAAAGCUUAUGGCUUGCCAUCAGCUGGGAUGCAGGCAGGUGGAGCUUGCAUCUGCUUGCAGAGUGGUUUGUGCACUAAUGCAGGCCUUUCUCUGCAGUGUGCCUAGCUUGAAAACUUAGGUGAGGCCAGCAUUGCAUGCCAGCGAUGUUGUCCUCCUUUGUACUCUAUGCAGACAUGACUCGUUCUCUGCAGAAAUAGGGGAGCUCAGGCAUCUCUUCCCAAAUCUAUUUAAAGUAAAAUGUUGGGAUUCGCCUGGAAAUUACAUACGUGUAGAAGUGCCUUUUAGCAAGGUAGGUGUCUGUGUUUAGUAUGUACCCAGUGGAAGUGCCAUAAUUGUGGUAACUGCCAGCAAGUCAGAAAGGCAAAAAGCUGAGAACCAUAUGGAUUUUCUGCAAGACAAGUUACCACCCUUUGCUAAUACACAUUUACCUGUGAGUGUCUGGGCAGAGGCUCAAGUAAACCUUAACUCUUAAAGUGUCCAUUUCCCUUCAAGUCAUGCCCAGGUAUCCUGUCCUGGGUGUACUCUUCAUUGGGUGUCUCUCCACUGGUCUUUCAUUCUCAAUUGCCAUUCACAUAUUCAUAGCUGGUGAGCUGCUUUUAUCUGUGCACGUGCACUGCCUUCUUUGCCACGCUUUGUGUCGUGUUCCCAACCUACUGAGUUAUACUCUGUCAUAUGAGGGCUGUGUUUUAGCAGGGUCAGUUUAUUUUAAGUCUUGCUUCUUUGCUGAGCUGAACCCUUUUUGUUACGUUGUUCCUUCUUCCGCUCCUGCCCUCUGCUCAGAUAGUUGGAAUAGAACCAUCACAAGGAGGGGUGCUCUUCCUUGCAGGAUGUACUGUAAGUUGUCCUCUGGUGGUUACCUGAAUGUCAGAUGGGUUGUAGCAGUUUUCAAGAGGUCAUCUCUGAUACUAACGAAUACAAACAACAGGUUCUGAAAGCAGACUACUGUGAGACUCACAGUAACCACUGAAACCACCGUGUGCCAGACUUCUCUCAAUUGCCAGGCUACAAAUCUAGUUCUGUGUUCAACGAGAAGGAAGAUUUCUGUUUCAUUGCACAUAGUUCAAAGA